GAGACUUGAUCAGAAAGCCUGUCUUGUCUCCAUUCUUCGCGUCUCUUGUCCCCAUCCCCUUUUUUCUCCCUUCAGGCCCUCGUGGUGUCCCGCAGGCCGGGACAGAUGGCGCCCAACGUGGGGCUCGAAGGUUUGUGGAUUUUGGGAAUGGCCUUUUGUCAGAUGUACCUCUGAGAAUUAAGCUGCAGCCUAGACAAUAGUGACGGUGGUCGCCGCGGGAGUGCCCGCCCCGAGGAAUUGAGACCUGAGGUUUCUGCAUGAUCAACCCUGAAGACAAGGACAACAAGAUCAUACCCGGGAAAAGCAUUGCAGAACAGUACACUUGAGAAGAAGUACGAGUAAUGAGAACACAGUGGAGCUAUAAUAAUCUCCAUGCUCCUAUCUCAAAAUUUCCAUGUGGGUUAAGUUUGAACAAUCGUAGUGGAAAGCCUGCUGACCUUGGAGCCAAAAGAUAUGGGUUUGAAUCUUGACUAUGACAUUUUUAGCUCCAUAACUAUGGAUAGGUAAGUCACUUAACUUCUAGUCCUUAAUUUCUUCAUCUUAAACAC
rnacentral:lncRNA from 1 species